UAAAGCCUUUAAGGCAUGUAUUCCACGAAUCAUACUGAACGAAAUUGUAUCCCAAACAUCUGCGAACGCCCAACUUAUCCAAAAUGAAAGUAUUCCAAGUGCUUUUUAGCGUCAUGCUAGCCCUUUUAUUGUUGGCAUCAUCCGUUUUUGCUCAAACUUAUACCGGUCCCACCGCACCCACGGAGCAACCGACGGCGCCAACGGCCGAUGGUUCAACCACUGACGACGGUCCACCGAGUGUCUCCGUGACUCCUGCAGCUGCACCAACUUCAACUGUGUCUGCACUGUAUGGCACCACCGCCAAAGCAUAAACCGCGCUAUCUUCACAAAAUUUUGUCUCUACAAUUUGCAGUCUUUGUACUAAAUACAAUGAUGUAAAAAGAUUUCUGAAACCAUACAGGCGAAACAAUAAAUUGAAAUAAAACAAGAGCACUUCUAUACUGAGAA